CCAUUUCACCUGCUUCUCCUCGCCGGUCUCCUCCGCAGGGUUCUCCUCUUCUUGUUUCUGAGACAUGGCGGGACCGGGACUGUGGAGUGUGGAGAGGAUUAAGCUGUGCGCAGUGUUGGCAGAAAGUUAUCGAGCUCCAGAAGAUAAUUCGGAGGUCAGAGUGGACCAUAAAGUGGUACUCAACACGA